UUGCAACCAUAUCACGUUGAAACAUCGGUUCUCGUACGAUCACCGAAGUUAAGCAACGUCGAGCCAGGUCAGUACAUAAAUGGGCGACAUCUGGCGAAUAUCUGAUGCUAU